rnacentral:rRNA from 1 species
UACGUAGGGUGCGAGCGUUGUCCGGAAUUAUUGGGCGUAAAGAGCUCGUAGGCGGUUUGUCACGUCGGCUGUGAAACCCUGGGGCUCAACCCCGGGCCUGCAGCCGAUACGGGCUGACUAGAAUUCGGUAGGGGAGUCUGGAAUUCCUGGUGUAGCGGUGAAAUGCGCAGAUAUCAGGAGGAACACCGGUGGCGAAGGCGGGACUCUGGGCCGAUAUUGACGCUGAGGAGCGAAAGCGUGGGGAGCGAACAGG